UUGCCUGUGUCCUGUUCCUCCAUCCCUUGUCCCCAGUCCCUCUCCAGCUCUCCAGGCCCUGGAAGGGGCUCUGAGCUCUCCCUGGAUUCUUCUCUUCUCCAGGUGAACGCCCCGAGGUCUCCCACCGUGGUUCCGUGCAGAGGGGCUCAGCCUUAGAGCCUCCUCCCCUGAGCAGCUCCACAUCCUCCUGAUGCCGAGGAGGGGCUGGGCACAGCUCUGCAGGUGGGACCUCCAGAGGUCACCUCUGUGAGUCCAGUGACCAGCACACCUGGAGAUGCAGAUACUGAGCUGGUACCUCCCUCCUCAUAGGAUGAAUCCUACCUCCAGGCUUUGAAUUCCUCCGAUGUUGAGCUGAUUCUGCCCUUUUCUGGGUUUGUGCUGCCUGUCCCACCUGUGACAUGAGGUUAAUUGCUCUUGCCUGUGUCAGGUGAGGUGAUACCUCAAACCUGUGUGAUAAAUGCCAUUAUCUGAGUUGUCAAGCUGAACACAAGGAUGCUCACAAAGUCCCCACUUUGAAUCUCCAACCCUCUGUCUGAAGGGAGACAGAGGAACAACAGAAAGAGAUGAGCCAGUCUUACCCCAGCUGAAGAGACCUAAAGCAAGAACUCAUCCCAGUGGGACAGGGCUGGCAUCAGUAUGGAAGUCCUUCAUUUCAAGUCCAAAAAUUUUGAAACCCAGAAAAUAAUGAGCUCAAAGUUUCAGGCCCAAAUCCAUCAGGUCUGAGGGCCCGAGGAUCUAAAGAAGAAAACCAUUGCACAUCAGAUAGUGGGAAUGCACAGCACCCUGGUUCCUCCAGAGGCAGCCAGAAUCUGAGCACACCUAAGUAUAAGGGAAAAAAAAAAUAUCCCUUUUCUCCCAUGUAAGCACUCAUAAGGAUAUAUUAUGCUUUAUUUUCAGGAAAAUGCUGGUUUGUUAUGGCAACACUUCAAGCCCAAAUCACAAAUGCAAACUGUCUCCAAAGUAGGAGCCAUGAAGUCAGAGGUGACCAGGGCUGCCAGCAAAGUGAGGCUCAUCAGGCGUCCACCAGGAACAUCUCUCAAACCUUGAGAUAGGACCGAGGGAGAAGACCAGCAAACUUGACAGUGCCCACAAGGAAUGUCCAGCUGCCAGCAAAGCUGUUCAUAGUUCUCAGGCUGCUGGAGAAGUGACGGGAGGCAGAGGGAGCAUCCAGUCCUGGAAUGCUGCUCCCCUGGGUUGGACAGGAGAGACCCCCUGGGAGGCAGCGAGCCCUGUGCAUGGCCUGCAGCUAUCCAGCGACUCAAAGCUCAAACAUCCCAUGGAAAAGUUAGCUUUUAAUGGAUGGUAAAUGUUUGGGGAGACCUUUGACCAGCACUAAUACUGCAGCUGACCGGGCAGGAGUGGGGAGUGAAUGACCCACAUUAGGCUGGGCUGCUCACUUUAGUGAACAAUAUCUGUCAAACCUCCUGCUUAACCCUCCCUCCCCAUCCCCUCCUGCCCUCAGGUGCUCCCUGGACAGGUAUUGACGGGCUGAGAGCUGGCUUUGGGUCACCCUUGUUCUGUACAGCCAUCAAACCAGCUCAGAGCACCUUGCUGAGCUGGAGAAGGUGCAGGAAUACUUUCAGAUGCCUCCAAAAUUUCCUUUUAACUGAUUUUCCACGUGUCCAAAUUUGUUUCAGCCCUGGACAUUGUCAUCUGCUCUGGCAAAGAUAAGAAAGCAGUGAGUGUGGAGGACUUGGUUCCUGACUGGGUCUUUCUGAGGAAGGCAUCAAUGGAGACAUUUUGCUUCCUGUGUCUUAGCAUAAACCACUGGGCUCAAAUUCCUCUGAGAAUCUCACACUUUAGGGUGUUCAGCAUUCCCUGAAAAUAUUCACAGUAUUCCCUGCCAAUUUUCCCACAAGUAUUUUUUUGUCAAACUGGAAACUCCUGGGGCCCCUACUUAAGACAUCACUCACAGUAGCCCUCUUAUGGUGCUCUCUUCACUACUUUUACACAUCAGACAUUUGAGUUUUUUCCUCUUUAAAAAUUUAAAGUCUUUCAAGAUUUUCAGCUUGGCAAAAAUAAUUCUGAUUAUUUGCAAAGCCAUUGAUGCAAAAUGAGUGUCCUUGUCCCCACUGCUAAGCACUGUGCACAGGGCAAGGAGGGCUCCAGUUGUGAUCC